GGAUCUGUAGCUCAGUUGGUAGAGCAGGGGACUGAAAAUCCCCGUGUCACUGGUUCGAUUCCAGUCGGAGCCACCA
rnacentral:tRNA from 1 species